rnacentral:rRNA from 1 species
UACAGAGGGUGCAAGCGUUGUUCGGAAUUAUUGGGCGUAAAGCGCGUGUAGGCGGCCGUGCAAGUCGGGUGUGAAAGCCCUCGGCUCAACCGACGGAAAGUGCGCCCGAAACUGCAUGGCUUGAGUACCGGAGAGGAUGGCGGAAUUCCCCAAGUAGAGGUGAAAAUUCGUAGAUAUUCGCAAGAACACCAGUGGCGAAGGCGGAGCUCGACUGGCCCGGAACGUGACGCUGAGCACGAAAGGCGUGGGAGCAACAGGG